UUGACAAAGUGGUCAUUGAGAGCAAUGCAGCCUCAGCAUCAGAGGUGGAAGAGUAAGUGUCACUUAUUAAAGUUGUAGGUGACAACCUGGUCCUCAGUGUAGUCCAGGAUGCCCUUAAAGGAGCCCUCUAGUGCCUGCUUCCCCUCUUUGCUGAUGUCGUGGUGUUUG
rnacentral:lncRNA from 1 species